rnacentral:lncRNA from 1 species
AUCUGCGCGGCCCCUCACCUUCCCGCCGGGCCUCCUCGAGGAACUGGCCGCCGUCAGUCAGGGCGCAGAUGGCCGCAGAAGCGCGCCGCAGACACUCGCCGCGCCAGCCACUUACCCCCAGAGGAGAGGGGUCUCUCCCGCCACCUCAGCCUCUCUGGUAGUGGAAGAAGCCGCCGGUCCAGAUCCCUCCUGCCUGUGGGACCGCUGUUUCCCUGGCAACCAGAUGCGCGAUGCUUCCGGUCUCGCGAUAGCGGAAAGGGCUGUACCAUCCGGAAAUGGGACCGGGGCCGGCGGCUGUUGGAGCCCUGCGAGCUGGGACGGCCGGCGUGUGUCCUUCCGUCUUCGCUGCCGACGGUGGGGGUUGGGAGCGAUUUUUCGUCUUUAGGUUGGAUUCGGAACGCGGACGUCUGGAUGCUUGUGUAUCUCUGUCCCUCAUAUUGCUGUGAUGCCUUACAGGUCAGUUAUCCUCUCCGAGCACAGUUUCCUCCUCCGUAAAAUGGGAACAAUAAUAAUUCCCUUCUUACAAGACUUGUGCAGCUCAAAAAGACCAUGUAUGUGAAGCUCUAGUAAAUUUGGGGUGCUAUGGAAAUUUUAAAAAUAUGAGUUUUGCACAGAUUCGGCUACAGUCCAAAAAGAGUUAUAAUUGCUUUUUGCACCUUCUUUCAUUUCGUAGUUUCUCUAAUUCUCAGUGCACGAAAAUUAUUUCCCUACGUCCACAAACUGAUUUUCCUCACCUCCAUUGCCAUCAUUUCUCCUGCUUUCCAGUCUGAACAGCACAUUACCGUUUACAGGGCAUUUUCACAUUCAUGGCCCCUUUGUCCUCAUUGUUUUAACUAGGUACGAUGUGGUUUUUUUUCAGCGAAGCAAAUAGUCGUAGGCUGAGUUGCCGAAAGAACACAGCUGCAGUCUAGGCGAGUGCUGGGUAUAAAAACCUGGCUAUAAAUGCCAUCCCUAUGCUCCUGAAUCCUGCAUCUUAUCACCAGCCCAGACUUCCCUGAACUCCAGACUCCUUUACCUAACUGCCUAUUUGGCAUAUCCACUUAGAUGUGUAAGCAUCUCAAACUUAACACGGGAAAAAACAACUUCUCCAGAGUCCCCCACCCACUUUCUAUCCAUCUCAGCAAAUGGUAAUUUCAGCCUGCCAUGCCUAGACCAAAAACCUUGGAGUCAUCCUCAAUUCUUCUUCCUCUCUCACUCUACAAUCUAUUUGUCCUAUCAGCUCAACAUUCAAAAUAUAUUCAGAAUCCAAACAUUCGUCACAACUUCAGUGCUUCCAUUCAGGUUCAUACUGACAUCAUCUCUAAAUGAUAAGGCUUUCUGUUGGCUCUCUGACCUCCACUCCUACCUACUGCUUUCCCCUGGUAAACCUGGUUCCAGCCUCACUGUCCUCAUUGUUAGUGUUUCUGUGCAGGGAUUUCUUCCCAGCAUUUCUCAGGGAAUUUAUGUGGCUUUCCAAAUCUCAAAAGAAAAAAAGUUGCAAACUGAAGAAAAUGGGAGAAAGUAUCCUAAUCCUCCUAUGAGAAUUAAAACUUAGCAGCCGACCUAGAGAUGUUACUGAAGAAAUUCACCAAUGUCAAGUUGAAAACCAGCACAGGAAAUGCUGAGUUCGAGGUUGAGGUGAACAUUUUCAGGAACCAGGUCAGGAGCACUUGGGAGAGACAUGGCCACAAUCUCAUCAGUCAGUCUUGUUUGUAGUUGGUGCCAUGAAAGCCUAUGUUCCUGGCCCUGUGUGCCGCUGGCAGUGAGUCAUUCUUGCAAAUAAAAUAUAAAUAGGUUGAUACUCAUUGUAUACUUUAUACAAAUUCUAUGAGCAGUGUUCAAAAAAGUAACGGGUUUUGGAUUCAAAGUAAAUCCUUAAAUUGACAGUUUCCAACCCAUGAUUCUGGGUAGUACAGUUAACCCUGCUAGGAGAUCUAUUAUUUGAAUACUCCUCAAUAAUGUUCUCUGUGUUUUCCAGCAUUUGAAUAUUUGCUAUAAACCCCACUUCUUGUAAACACUUCUAAAUUUAAUAGUUCUCAUUUUUUAAACAAAGGCUUCAGAUACUUGUAAUAAUGAGUAAAGAAUAUGAAGAAGGUAGAGAAUAUUUUAAGAAUAAGAUUUUGAGAACAGCUGGUAAUUCUGAUUUCCUGUUUCUGCAUCCCAAAGAUCAGUAUCUGUCAGGAAUUUGGAAACACUUGUUGUUCCUCCAGUCCAAAUACACACACACACACACCAGCCUGAAAUACAGUUUCCCAGCUAUCCACCUGGUUUGCUCCUCUCUUUCCUCAGGCGUCCGCUUCCUCAGGAGGGCCUUUCCCAACCACCCUGUAUAAAAUAAUUAUCCCCAUCUCCACACUCCCUACCCUCUGUCCCCUCAACCCUGCUUUAUUUUUUUAUGAAGAAGAGAGAUGACAUUAUUUGGAUUUUGAUAUUAAACAGCUAGGUUAUCUUAGGUAAAUACAUAAGCUUUUGUGGGCCACAGUUUCUUCAUUUGAAAAAUGAAGUUGGACUAGUUUUGCAGUGCUUAACUGCACAGAGCAUUAGAAUCACCUGGGGAGACUUCAUAAACUACACAACCAGGGGUGUACCUGAGAUCAAAUGAAUCUAGGCCUUCUCAACUUUAAUGUGCAGACAAAUCACCGAGGAAUCUUGUUAAAAAUGCUGAUUCAAAAAAAAAAAUGUUGAUUCAGUAUCAGGUGAGACCUGAGACUAACAGGCUCCUAGAUGAUGCCAAUGCUCCCCGUCCACCGACCGCUGUUUACCUAGCGGCAAGACGAGAUCAUUGCCAAGUGCCUGCACGGUUCUCAUACACCAUAAACGAAGGCCAUUCUUUCCAGUUUUUAAUUUGGUGACUAAUAGUGUCCACUAAGAAAACAAUACCUUCCCAAUUUCUCGGGGGGGGAAGGGGCUGAACUAAGAAAAAGCGGACCUAUGAUUACUGCUGUUUUCAUUUUUUUAACUGUUGUUUUUAAAAUGCAACAUAAGAUGCAUAUAAAGCAAGUGAAAAUAAAAUUCGGGUUCCACGUAAACUUUGUGUCUCUUCACUGUUUGUAACCUUUCCAGACUAAGUCCCUAUUGACUAUAUUUGCAUAAAACUAUUUAUCUCAUUUUGAAUUGUUUUGUCUCUGUGUCACUCUCACGUGUUUAUUUACCUCCUGCUGCUUCCAUUUUGUAAACUGCCGAGAGGCUGUGUGUGCCUUAAGGGCCAGCUUUAAUAAAUUGCAUUUGUUGUGUAUUUGUUUUUAAUUUCCCCAGAUACUUCUGUGUCAGCUAUUGCAGGUGACACCCUCAAAACAGCACGGGGAUAUAAGUCCGAGAGCACCAAAUGUCUAUACUGUGUUUUCUGCAGUUCCAUUUUCAAAAAUCGCAAACACAUCCUGGAAAGUGUUGUGCCCUUCAAAGUCAUUCAUAAAAAUUUCUUCUAGAGUCAAGAUAUUUGAAGCUAAAAUUUCCCUGGUCUCAUUCCAGGUUGGUGACAUAUGGCAGUGGCAGUGUUAGUUUCGGAGUUAGCUUUUGUUUUUGUUUGCAGUCUCUCCCUACUCUUGACAUCCUCCUUCCGAGUGGAGUCAGAUUUGAAUGAAUGAAAGCGAGCAAGAGCAUUGUUUGCCAUCUGGGCACCAACUACCAUUUCAGCCUUGUUGCCCCGGUUGCCCUUUCCUCACCAUAAACUUCAACCGAAUGUAACAAUAUGGUAGGAGAGGGAUCUCAUUAAGCCUCAUAUCGUAGAUUCUACACACUGGAUUUUGUGUAUAAUAGCCAUUCCUACUGGAGAGCAGAUAAUAGUGUUUACCACUGGAUAGUUCCCAUGUCCUGUGAAUCUAUGCUUAGUGUUAUUGAAAAACUGCAUUUACAAAGUGUUUCAGACUUGCCUUCCAAGCAUCAUUUCACUUCAUUCAUAACAUUCUAUGAGUCGGCACUAGUAUUACCUGGAUUUAGAGUUGAGAAGCAGAGCACCUAAAGGGUAAGUAAUUGUCCCAAGGUCGUUGGGGAACUAACUGGCACCGGGAUUCCAACCUAGGUUCCAAAGCCUGCCCUCCAUCUCCUCAGGGGUCCGAAUUCUAGAAGAGGAGAUAUUUGUGUCCACUAGAUGGUGCUGAUUGUCCUCUUAAAAAAAAAAAUUGGCAGCCACUUUCAGAAACACGUUCCUUUGGAUUUUAGGUGUAAUUCAAGAAACCACUGAACUGAAGUAUCUUGUAUGUCUGAAUUGUGCCUGGAUGCAUCUUUAAAUAGCCACCCAAAUAGGAAAAGUGAAAAUUUGAUCUCAAAAAAACUGCAUUUUUUAAAAUGUUAGUACCUAUAAAUAAUAUCAAAAAACCAUGGUGACUUUGAGACUCUGAAAAUUCUCAUACAUCUGUAUUUACAUUAAAUCAGUAGACUUAAGAAGAAAUACAUGUUUUAUUCCAUGUACCCCUUUUAUACCAACUGUACUCCCUCCAGCAUCUCCCAAUCCUGCUUGGCCACAAUGCCAUCCAUGCCAGCAAGGGUCAUGAACAGGGAAGUAAAUAAAGCCUGAAAAAAACAACAAUCAGAUUCUGGAACAGGUAACACUUUUUUCUUUUUCUUUUUUUUUUUUUUUUUUGAGAUAAAGUCAUGCUCUUUCACCCAGGCUGGAGUGCAGUAGCACAAUGAUCAUGGCUCACUGCAGCCUCAACUUCCCAGGUUCAAGCAACCUCCCACCUCAGCCUCAUGAGUAGCUGGGACUACAGGCAUGCAACACCAUGCCCGGUUGAAUUUUUUUUUUUUUUUUUGUAGAGGUGAGGUCUCCCUAUGUUGCCCAGGCUUAAUGCUAUUAUUAUUGAAAGUAAAAUACAUGUUAAGUAUAUGUUUCAUAUGUGCUUAGUACCUUAUUUUAGUACAUUUUUUAGAACUUAAAAGCUGUGAAAUAAACCCGAUUCAAAUGGGUUGUCAGAUUUUGUUGUUGAGAAGGAUCAGUUCAGGUGUUAUUUAAAAUAUUGAUUCUAGUCCCUAUUACAUGAUUCAGUGGGUCUGGAAUGCAGACCAGGAAUCUGCAUUUUUAACAAGUCCCUUGGUGCUUGUGGUACAGAUGAACCACUGACUUCAAGUUAAUGUUUUAGAGGGUAAAUAGUGGUGAGGACAUUGCUCCUGGAGGCACCAUGGAGCCCCCUGCAGCUGUUCUACACGGAGGCUGUGAACAGUGACAUCCAGCACUUCCUUUGUAAACAGCAGGCUAGAGACUGAAAAAUGCUCUCCCUGUAGAACUCUUUCCCUCCUCUCCCUGUCUGCUGUGGAGUGCUGCACAGAAUUAGCUGCUGGUCAGUGGAUGUCUCCAUUUUUUAAAAGAUCAAGCUUACAACUUCUCAAUGCCUAUUGGUCCAAAAACAGUGAUGACUUUAGGUUUGUUUUCAGUUAAAGAAGUUAGAUCAUGUAUUGUCAUAUAACUAUUCAACUGGCUCGAGCGAUCCGAAUGUCAACCUAGGGGGCCACAAACUUCCAGGACAUUGUGAAAUUGUGUAAAAAUCAGUGCACACAUACACACACACACACACACAUAGCAGUGCAGCUACAUGUUUCUGGCCUAGAGGGUUGUUUUUAAAGAUAGUAAAGUAAAUCAAUGAAAACGAAGGUAUGUUAUAAUAUCCAGAGUCAUUUGCAGGGGGAAGGUGUCAUGUCAAGUGGGCCCUAAAGCAAUCAGCUCUGCCAAGUGAGUCAUUCUCACCAGAAAGGAGAAAAAAAUCGGUUUCUCUUCUUUUCUAAGGAAAUUCCCUCAAAGUAACAGACUGCUUAACUUUCUCAUGAUCUUACUGGCUACAAAGUUUGGUCACCCGCAGCAACUCUGUACCUGUAAAGAUUUAAAGAGUUGGCAGAAACUUCCCAAGGCCAGCUGCAGUUUCAGUUGCUGGAUGCCCACUGAGAUUAGUGUCUCGCCCCUGUCAGCUGAAUGGAUGUGACACUGCUUGCGCAUAAUGGCUGAAAUUGCACUGCAACUAUCAAUCCUGGGCUGAAACCAACAGAUUCUGAACAUUGCCCAUGCAUUGGGUUUCAUGCUUCAUGCUUUCAACCUACAGGUAAGCUUGUCUCUGAGUCCAAAACCUAACUUCAGUAUUGAGCUUGGUCUCUCUGAUCCCAUAGGGGUUUGUUAGUUUGUUGUUUUAAAUUGGAUCUCCUGAUCUGUGUACUUGGUUGAGGUAAGCAGGUCUAUGCAAACCUACCCCCAAAGGCCAAGGAAGCUGAGAGGCCAAUGAAAGAAGCUGACAAGUCCAGUUUCUCAGAAAGAAACAUUCAAUAAGGGCUUACAAACAGAAGCCAUGUCUCUGGCGGCCAGAGAGACAGUGGAUCCCCGCAACUGCCCUCCAGAAAGCAUCUUUUAUAUAGCAAGAUUUUAGGGAAAGAUGUGCAGCCAGUCAUGCCUCAGGCCUUCUUGCAAAACUCAUGACCCCUGGGGUGGUUAGAUAAGCAUCUCUAUGAGAGUUUAUCUAUGCUACAGGAACACAUUGGUCAUCUUGCUAUGCAACAGGCCGUUUUCCUACAAUACUAAAAUGAAGCUUUAGUAUAUAGUUAUGUAAGCCUUCAUUAUUAUGUAAACCUUUGUACAUAUUUUAACAAAAAAUAAAGGAAGCUAAAAUAAUUAAGAUGCCAUAUUAGAAACAUUCAAAUCAAAUAUUUAGGGUGUUAAGCAGCAAGGUAAGGAAAUGAUUUUUCUCAGAGUUAACAUCUCAGACAUAAAGAAAUAAGAAGUAAACCACCCCAGGGGUUUGUUCAUCAGUCAUGGGUCAGGCUGCCACAAUGUUUAAGUCUCAUCCUGGCAUUCUUAGCUUCUCACUUUAUUUCUUACACAAUCUUUUUCUUAGCUGGAAUCCAAAGUAAUGUUUCUAUCUGAACAUACAGUGUUUAUUACACUAGGAACUAGUCAUCAUUUUGAAGACUUGGUUUUCUUGUUUACAUUUUUAAAAUUUGAUCAUCCAAACUCCUUUCUUAAUAGAAGCUGGCUUAUUUUCCCCUUAUUUUGCCAUAAUAGGCAAACUAAAAUUAGUGCUUUAAUUUUGUUCAAAAUUUGUGAUGUUUUAUAUUUUUGUAAUUCAUCACUGACACACAUUUUAAAAUACACAUCUCUGGAUUUUCUGUCCUGUCUUUGCCAAGAACAGUGUGGCCUGGGCCUAGUCUCUUAACCUCUUUCCACCUCAGUUUCUUUGUCUAGUAAAUAAGAGGUAGAUAAAGGUUUCUACCACUACUUCCAGCUCUGAGACCCUGUGAUUUUCUGAUUUAAGCAGUCUCUGCUCUCUUUGGAAAUGACCUGCUUCUCAACCCAACAUUCAUAACAAUGUAAAAGGCAUCUGCUCAACGUGCAUGGCAGCAAGAAUUACUUGUUUAGAAACAUCUGGGUAAUGGUAACAACCAUCUGUCUUGUCCCUGCAAUUGUCGAACAAAGAAUUAAGCAAGCAAAACCACAAGAGAAGUGCCCUAUUUUUAUAGAACGAUGCAAUAGAACAGAAUUUGUUUAGGUUUUAUGAGAGUUGCAUAUGUAUCCCACCUCUGUUAUGGAACGGCAAGCCUCUUCACCUCUGCAGACUUCAGUUUACCAGCCUAUCUGUCAAACAAUGGGAAGAUAACUCUCUAGCACUGUUCCUUAUUUUGUUGAAAUAGAGAAAUUAAUAUGUUCUUGAGACACUAUACUGAAUUUUUCAUUGCACUUGUUAAUAAAAUGAGUAUUUUCAUGUCAAAUAACAGCAACCAUCCAAUCCAUGCUGGAGAAUGAAAGAAAAGCAGAUGAAUUAUCAGGUUCAAUUCAUAUCUGGUGUGCAUUAAAUGCUCAUCUAUCUUGUAUAGCUUGCUACAGAUGAUGGUAUUUUGGUGAAAAUUGCCAACAAUUUUUUAAAUGAAUCUAGAGAUCAUUACCUGGACCCAAAUUUGUGAGAAUUUUGCAUUCGGGUGGACACUUGCAUCCAUGCAUUCAAUUUUCUAUCAUUCAUUGGUCAUUUUUUCUGAGUUAAAUCCUCUAGCGAGGGCCGGGCACGGUGGCUCACGCCUGUAAUCCCAGCACUUUGGGAGGCAGAGGCGGGCGGAUCACGAGGUCAGGAGAUCUAGACCAUCCUGGCUAACACGGUGAAACCCCGUCUCUACUAAAAAAUACAAAAAAUUAGCGGGCGUGGUGGUGGGCGCCUGUAGUCCCAGCUACUCAGGAGGCUGAGGCAGGAGAAUGGCGUGAACCCGGGAGGCGGAGGUUGCAGUGAGCGGAGAUUGCGCCACUACACUCCAGCCUGGGCGACAGAGCAACACUCCGUCUCAAAAAAAAAAAGAAAAAAAACCAAAAAACCUCUAGCGAACUAUUUCUGGGCAAGUGAACUUUUCAGCAUUUCUCUAAUCAUGCCUAAUUGCUCAGAGAUUCUGACAGGGAUAGGAACA